GAUGAACGCUAGCUACAGGCUUAACACAUGCAAGUCGAGGGGCAGCAUGAUUGAAGCUUGCUUCAAUCGAUGGCGACCGGCGCACGGGUGAGUAACACGUAUCCAACCUGCCGAUAACUCGGGGAUAGCCUUUCGAAAGAAAGAUUAAUACCCGAUAGUAUAGUAUUUCCGCAUGGUUUCACUAUUAAAGAACUUCGGUUAUCGAUGGGGAUGCGUUCCAUUAGAUAGUUGGCGGGGUAACGGCCCACCAAGUCAACGAUGGAUAGGGGUUCUGAGAGGAAGGUCCCCCACAUUGGAACUGAGACACGGUCCAAACUCCUACGGGAGGCAGCAGUGAGGAAUAUUGGUCAAUGGACGAGAGUCUGAACCAACCAAGUAGCGUGAAGGAUGACUGCCCUAUGGGUUGUAAACUUCUUUUAUACGGGAAUAAAGUGGAGUAUGCAUACUCCUUUGUAUGUACCGUAUGAAUAAGGAUCGGCUAACUCCGUG
rnacentral:rRNA from 1 species